GACCUGGAGGCCGUUUUAUCAACAUAUCUUAUCUUAGCGGAUCUUAUCUUAAAUCCCUCACUUACGAUUUCAUUUACGAUCCGCUAAUACCCGUUUUAUGAACGUUGUCGUAAGUAUCGAGUCGCAGCUAAGAUUUUAGCUAAGCGUACGAUCUGAAAUAACGCGAACCAGUCAAAAACGUCAUCACUCGAUUUCCCGCGUUAUGUCAAAGUCGUCUGUUGUCAUAACAAGCAAGAUGGCCGACAAAAUGAACAAGGGGAAACGAAAGCCCAAUUGGUCGGAGACGGAGAUCGCCUGUUUAGUGCAGGCAUGCACGGACAAUAACUCGUUAUUGGUCAGUAAAAUGACUAUUGAAGUGACGAACAAGAAAAAAGAAGAGUUCUGGGCGGACACCUGUGAGAAAGUGAACAGCGUUGGCUUGAGCAGCCGCGAAGUUGACGAAAUAAUAAAGAAGUGGACGGACCUUAAGAGUCAAGCGAAAAAAAAGAAAAGAACAGGCGGCGGGAAGCGAGUCUAACAGGAGGCGGCAAAACCAGCAUCUGUCUCACAGACUGGGAGCAGAAGAUAGUAGCCAUUCUACCAGAAGAAACACUGGUGGGAAUCGACGGUGGAUUAGACACGUUUCAGUCCAGUUCAUGCUCUAAACAACAAGCAUGUGUUGACGAGGAAACCUCAAGCAUUUCAAUUGGCCACGAGUUGGAAGAUGCGCCAAACAGCCCGUGUGAGGCCAAAUCUGAACAGCCUUGUAAGAGAAGAAAGAUAACAUUGUCUGAUGUGCAGCUAGCACAAUACACGUUCUUCAUUGAACAAACAGAAACAACCCGGUUAAAAAGAAAAUUGAUGGAACAACAAAUUCUGACACAAAAGGCUGCGGAGCAGUACUUCAUUGAAAGCAAAAAAAACCUUGCCCAAAAUGUAUUGGAGAAUUUUUUAGAACAGUAAGUCAAAUUAUUAUAUUAGUAUCUAAACUAUCUUUGAUUUAAAUAAAAACAUUAAUAUAAUGACCCCAUAAUACAUUUUACUUUGGAAGGGCUCAUGGGUUGAAGCAUAUUGACAUGUCUGUCUUUAUAUACAUCAUUUACACAAAUGUAUGCUAAACCAGUUUUAAAAAAAUCAUUAGUUUAUGCACAUCUCUUAAUGUUACAUUAAUGUUACAAUGUUACCAUUUUAGCAUCACUUUGCAUUACAAAUAAUUUGAAACAUGACAUGUAUUUUAUUUUCAGAUAGUGUUCCACUUCCUUUGUCCU